rnacentral:rRNA from 1 species
UACGUAGGGGGCUAGCGUUGUCCGGAAUCAUUGGGCGUAAAGAGCGCGUAGGCGGCCAGAUAAGUCCGGUGUGAAAGUCACAGGCUCAACCUGUGAAUGCCGCUGGAAACUGUCUGGCUAGAGUCCGGAAGAGGAGAGUGGAAUUCCCGGUGUAGCGGUGAAAUGCGCAGAUAUCGGGAAGAACACCCGUGGCUAAGGCGGCUCUCUAGUACGGUACUGACGCUGAGACGCGAAAGCGUGGGGAGCGAACAGG